GACAGAGGCCUCGAGCGUUAGGCGGAAUCACUGGGCUUAAAGCGUGUGUAGGCGGGUCGUUAAGUACCUUGUGAAAUCCCACGGCUCAACCGUGGAACGGCUGGGUAUACUGGCGGUCUUGGGCCAUUCAGGGGCGACUGGAACAAGCGGUGGAGCGGUGAAAUGCGUAGAUAUCGCUUGGAACGCCGAAGGUGAAAACAGGUCGCUGGGGAUGUGCCGACGCUGAGACACGAAAGCCAGGGGAGCAAACAGG
rnacentral:rRNA from 1 species